rnacentral:rRNA from 1 species
UACGUAGGGUGCAAGCGUUUAAUCGGAAUUACUGGGCGUAAAGCGUGCGCAGGCGGUUUUGUAAGUCUGUCGUGAAAGCCCCGGGCUCAACCUGGGAAUUGCGAUGGAGACUGCAAGGCUUGAAUCUGGCAGAGGGGGGUAGAAUUCCACGUGUAGCAGUGAAAUGCGUAGAGAUGUGGAGGAACACCGAUGGCGAAGGCAGCCCCCUGGGAUAACACUGACGCUCAUGCACGAAAGCUAGGGGAGCAAACGGG